GGGCCCGCACAAGCAGUGGAGCAUGUGGUUUAAUUCGAUGCAACGCGAAGAACCUUACCAGGCCUUGACAUCCUCGGAACUUUCUAGAGAUAGAUUGGUGCCUUCGGGAACCGAGUGACAGGUGCUGCAUGGCUGUCGUCAGCUCGUGUCGUGAGAUGUUGGGUUAAGUCCCGUAACGAGCGCAACCCUUGUCCUUAGUUGCCAUCACGUUUGGGUGGGCACUCUAGGGAAACUGCCGGUGCUAAGCCGGAGGAAGGCGGGGAUGACGUCAAGUCCUCAUGGCCCUUACGGGUAGGGCUACACACGUGCUACAAUGGCAGUGACAAUGGGAUAAUCCCCAAAAGCUGUCUCAGUUCGGAUUGUCGGCUGCAACUCGCCGGCAUG
rnacentral:rRNA from 1 species